AUUGAACGCUAGCGGGAUGCCUAACACAUGCAAGUCGAACGGAGUGGCGAACGGGUGAGUAAUGUAUCUGAACGUGCCCAGUAGCGGGGGAUAACUACGCGAAAGCGUAGCUAAUACCGCAUACUAUUGGAGUGGGCUAUAUCGGAUUAGCUAGUUGGUGGGGUAACGGCUCACCAAGGCGACGACCCGUAGCCGGUUUGAGAGGGCGACCAGCCACACUGGGACUGAGACACGGCCCAGACUCCUACGGGAGGCAGCAGUGGGGAAUUUUGGACAAUGGGGGAAACCCUGAUCCAGCCAUGCCGCGUGUGCGAUGAAGGCCUUCGGGUUGUAAAGCACUUUUGGCAGGGAAGCGGUACCUGCAGAAUAAGCACCGGCUAACCACGUGCCAGCAGCCGCGGUAAUUC
rnacentral:rRNA from 1 species